rnacentral:rRNA from 1 species
CGAGCUGAAGACUUUUGCCGGAUUAGCUGAGAGGUGGUGCAUGGCCGUCGUCAGUUCGUACUGUGAAGCAUCCUGUUAAGUCAGGCAACGAGCGAGACCCACGCCCACAGUUGCCAGCGUACUCUCUGGAGUGACGGGUACACUGUGGGACCGCCGCUGCUAAAGCGGAGGAAGGAAUGGGCAACGGUAGGUCAGUAUGCCCCGAAUAUCCCGGGCUACACGCGAGCUACAAUGGUUGGUACAAUGGGUAUCUACCCCGAAAGGGGACGGGAAUCUCCUAAAACCAAUCUUAGUUCGGAUUGAGGGCUGCAACUCGCCCUCAUGAAGCUGGAAUCCGUAGUAAUCGCGUUUCAACAGAACGCGGUGAAUACGUCCCUGCUCCUU